CAUUUGAAAGAUUGUAUUCUUUUUUUCUUUGUUUGUCAAUUAAAUGGUUUCAAGUGCAAAGCAGGCCUUUAUGUUAAACGCCACAAACUUUUAA